CCACGUCUCUUGCCCAUGAUCCCGUUCGUGAUUUGAAUAACAGUCCUGCAAAGGCAGGACUGGUUGAGGGGCAAAUUUCUCUAUAAAAGGGAGAAGAAAACCCAGAACAAGGGGCCGAAAAAUGAGAGGAGAAAAACAGAACCAGUGGGGGAUUUGUGGGACCGAAAACCAGAGAAAAGAACUGAAGUAAAACCCAGAGUAAAAAAACCCAGAAAACAGAGAGGGACGAACAGGCCAAGAACAGGGGUGAAAGACGAAAACAGGGAGGGGCAGAACUGAAGCUAAACCCAGACGAAAAACCAGAAACCGGAGAAAAGAACAGAGGAAGAAACAGAACCAGGAAGGGGAUUUUGACGAAUAGGCCAAGAACAGAGGACGAGUGGAAGACGAGGAACGCACGGUGAAAAACGAAAAACACAGAGCAAAAACACAACACAAAACCCAGACCCAGAUUUGAAGGGAGAAGCCAGCACCGUCUUCAGUUCUUCAUCGCAAGGACCGAGAAAGCAGGGAAAAACAAAGGAAAAAAGGGAACAGCGGGCACAGAAGCAAAGGAAAGCAGGAGGGAAAUCUAUAAGCAGAGGAGGGCCACCGCGCUGCCACCAUCCACUCCGUCUCCAGAGAACAGAUUCUGAAGGAGGGAUGAACAAAUCUUCAAGUUAUAGUUACAACACUAAUUCUUCCCAGUUCACCACAUCUUCUUCAGCAUCUUCUGCAUCUGCCAUGCUUCCACACGAAGGCUAAAUUGAUGACCAGUGUAAUUAAUUUGAGAUUCUUAUCCAGUUAAAAUAUUUAAUUUUGCCCCUUUUAUUGUACUGAUCAAUUUUCACGUGUUUUCUGUAAAUUGAUUUUCUUUGAAACUGAGUACAAAUUCAUGUCCAAUUGAACAGUUUAAGUUCACUCUGUUUAAAGAUUUAUAAAUUAGCCACCCGGCUCAACUGCUAAA